GGUGAUGAUGGUGGUGGUGAUGGCGGGGAUAAGGAAGAUAUUGUUGGCAGCUGUAGUGCUUUUGAGAAUAAGAUAAAUGGCAACAUCUUCGGUGGACUCCAGUUUGCAAGCUGUCCUCACCAUAUCAUAAUCCCUGGGAAAGAGCCACAGUGUGGACCCACUUUCCAUGGAAGUCAUGGGGAGAAUUGAGACUCUCCAGCAGCUCCAGCUCCUGACCAGUCCCUACCCUGUGGUCCUCCGAAUGUCCAUGACUUUCAGGAAUCUGCCCAGUUCUGGAUUCCUUCUCUACAGCCUGACAACUCCCAAUGGCGCCACCAGAGGGCGCUCUGCGGCAGGGAAUGGGCACACUGGGUCUUAGCCACGGAGCUGGACCACGGUCCUGAUAUGGAGGGAGAGGGGCAGAUUCUGGACUCUCAGGGGCCGUCUGCCACGUCAAAGGCUGUGUGGCCAUGCAGGUCUUCGCUUACCUGAAGGCUCUAGGGAUGACUCAUGGGAACCAGAUUGGUGCUGGCCUGGAAAGACCCAAGCGGGGAUGUGAUAUCGGAGACAGGGCUGGAUCACUGUGAAUAACGGGAGGACAGGAGGGGCCAUGGAGAAGAGUGCAGACCACUGGAGUAGACCUGGAUGGAGCAAUCUCAACAGAUCUACAGUACAGAGGACAUGGCCACCAAGGCACCAUCCCCACCCAGCCUGACAGUAACCAAUCAGAGGAUUUUGCCCUCUUCUCAGCCUGGACACAGGAGAGGAGACAGAGGGAGCAGCUAAACCCUAAUCCAAGGAGAAAUGACCCCAGUCCUGGCCAGGUCCUCAUCUGAGAAGAACAUGCCCUUGGCCUCAAAGAACACUUCCUGUGUGGACAACUAUGAAGAAAAAUGGCGUGUCUCGGCUGGAAGAAACCGGCUACUUUCGUCUGUCCACGGCUGACUCCAUGACCUUGCUCAUGAGGCAAAGCACCGUCCUCAGCGCCUGCAUGUGUGUUUGGCCUGGCAUCCACCUGUUCUGACAGAGCACCCAGAUACUUCAGGAAUGAAGUCCUGGCCAGCCCUGCCUGACCCUGACUGCUGCUGCUCUUGCCUGAGGGUUGGGGCCGUAUCUCAGCAGUACCAGUCAAGGCCCUGACUCCUUACCUCCACAGAGAGCCAUCAUCUGGGGUCUGAACUCACUCUGGCUAGGGACCUUGCUUCCAGAAUCUUCUGUUAAUUCCCCUUCGAAUGUAGCCUGUCUUCACUUUUCAAAGUAUCGUUUAGGAUUAAAAGCUGACCCGAGUUGGCUGUGGCAGCGCGUGCCGAAAAUCCUGACACUCGGUAUCUCAAAGCAGGAGGUUCCAGCCUGAGCUACGCAGUCAGUACCUGAAGAGACCAGAAGAGGGCGUCAGAUCUCCUGGGACUGCGAUUACAGGUAGUAGUAAGAGGCCACGAAUGUGCUGGGAAUUAAACCUGGGUCCUCUGGAAGAGUAGCUCUUACUGGCUGAGCCAUCUCCCCAGCCUUCUGGCACAUUCUAAAGACUGACCAGUCUGUCCCGUCUCUGAUGAUGACAUUGAAGGUGCUAGGUCCCUAGGAGCCAGACUGGGCUGGCCAACCUGGCUGAUAUAACCCUACAGUCUUCAGCACUUGCGGACUUCAGAGAAAUUGUCCUUGAUUCUGAAAGCCUGCUGCUGUGAGAUCAGGCCAAGGCUAGUGGACCCGUCUUGUCCCAUGAUGCCGCUUCUGGCUCGGGAGACAGUGGGAAGAACCAGCAAACUGAGCCCUUCUCUUCACUGCCACUGCUGGGAGUUAAAAGACAUGCACUUCAGCAUCCUGUCCACCUCCCACCACUACAGCCUGAAGCGCCAGAGGGUGCUGACAGGUGGGUGAACACUUAUCUCUCUCAACAUUGUUCCCAUCUUUGAGUCAUUUCCUGCAGGCCCUAACCACUCCUGACCUGUACUGCACACUCCUCAGACAUAGGUGGCAGGGACAUCCUCCUGUGGGGGGGUGUUAAAACCAGAGCUCCCAGCAUUGGUACCCCAACCCUAUAGUGCCCAUCAUGUAGGUGCCCAAGGUCCUGUGGGUCAUUGUGACUCUGAUGGUCAGUGACCCUGUAGGUUCCCAGUUCUGUGAGUUCUUGUGGUACUGUGGGUGUCUGUGGCUCUGUGGGUGUCUGUAUCCCCGUGUAUUCCAGCGACCCUGUGGGUAUCUGUCUGUGAGUGUCUGGUUCUGGGUGGAUGAUAGCCCUGUAGCGUCCAAAACCCUGACUGAACUGCCGUAUGUCCUCACAGCCACCAGGGGGCAGAAGAGGGUGCAGGCCCACCUUCCAAGAGGACCUGUCUUCCCUUGUAGAGCCAGAGCUUUGUGUAGACCAGAGAGGUGGGGGCUAGAGAGCAAAGGAGGCUGAACAAGGUCACUCCAGGCCAGCAGAGAAAUCUUGGCUUGGAUCCUGCCUCUGCUGCUACCUCCCACAUGACUUCACCAGCCCGGCCCUCAUCGGAACAUGCAGAGCACUGGGCCCACUUCAGGCAUUGCCUCCAACGCGGAAAUUAACUUCCUGCCCGGAGAGGCUGCGCCCACACAGCUGCAGGUCUGGGCCGCCAGACCUGGGGCGCUCUGGAGUCCAGUUGAGGCCUCUCCUGCCCUCCUCCUGUCUGCAGAUGGAGAGAUUGAGACCCGGCCAGGACAGGGGGGCUUGGAUAACAUUGCGCAAUAAAUCCAAAUCGGGGACAGGGCCAGCUGGGCCUGCAGACGCUAGGCCUGCUUGCUUCAUGGAGUCAUCUUCCAGCCUGCGUCUCAAUCCCACCAAGCACUGGGGUCCUGCAGGGCUGGAGAAAGACAGCUGUUAUCUAGUCCUGAAGGUCUUCCGGUGCCAGCCCCAGGCUCCGGGCACUGUGGCCACCAGCUUCGGAAGUGAGAAGUUUCAUAUUGUUUUCCAAGCCUGAGGUGUGGGUGUUUCUGGACCAUGUGGGUAUUAGGGACCCCAUCGCCAGUGCGAGGCCUGGCAGGCAUACGGUAGGAGUGAGGAAACAAGGACGUUCCUGGCGUAGUGUCUGUCUCUCCAGCUUCUCUCUCCCUCAGGUUAUAGAGCGGAGAGUGGAUAACCCAGCAGCUGUCCUCUGGGCCAGCAUCCACCCAGCUCCAACAUAGAAGCAUAGCUAGAGACUACUCUCAGACCCAAGCGGGUGACCCAGGAGGAUUUCUUUGUCCCUCAGAGUGUCAAAUAGAAGUAACUGUGGAUUCCUGCUGGAGCUCUGAGAGUAACCAACCCCCUACCCCUUCGGGCCUCAGUUUCCCCUCAGCUGAGAGGCAGGGAAGAGAACUGUAAGGCUGCAAGCUCAGCCCAGCCCUGGGAUAGUCCCAGCUCAAGGCUGGGAGAUGAAUGAAGGUCUGGAGUCUAGGGCCUGGUCUUCCUUUCAGCCACCAAAAAGGGUUCAUUUUGUGCCUUGGGCAGGUCGCCCAGGCAAGGAGGCCACUGGCUGCCAUUCUCCAGGACCUCCUCCCGUCUGCAAGAAGCAUUACCUCAUCGGGAAGCCAUUCCGGAAAAGGGCUUCAGAGCUCCAUGAGUGGGAAUGAAGAGGGCUUUCCAAGAGCCUCCUGGCCACCCAGGAGCCCAGCCAAGGCAGACAGUGCCUGUCCAGUGACCGCUGCAGGGAGGUGACAAGGCUGGCUUGGACUGAGCAGGCAGAAGGGACAGUCGUGCCCGAAGCCAGCAGCUUCCAGGUAGACAAAGUAGAUAUUUCAAAAGCUGAAACAAAAUGACAUGAGAGGGGCUGGGAAAAUGCAGGGCAGAGUCACCAAGCCCUGACCCUCUCCAGCCCACGUCCCUGCCUGCAAAAUACAUUAGGCACACCAAGCUGUACCCUGCUGUCUAAUGAUACACACCCGGAUGACAUGAUUGGCCACAUGAUCAGGGGUGGGGAGGGAACUCUAAGGACAGCUUGGGGUGGGGAGAUGUGCUAAAGGCGAUCAGGAGAGUUCCCUAACCACUGGCCCAGUGACGACGAUACUACGGGACACUCUUGGAGCCUUGAUAUUUCUCAUCUGGAGAAUGGAGCAAAUAAGCAUCCCUUGAAAAAGACAUCUGAGAACACAGGCACUGACAGGCUGGUGCUUUUGGGGUCACAUGGGUGGGUCCUCCUCUGCCUGGGUCAGGGGACUUCUCCUAGAAUGAGCACAGGCUUCUCUCAUUGCCCCAGGGGGAGUGAAAUUCUGCCUUCCAACUUCUCCCAACCACAGAACUUCCUGUGCUUGCCAUCUUUCCCCAAAUCCUACCUGGAGAAUGUCCAUGCACCCUGAAAAUAAAUCUAGAAGAGAUUG